CUACGUGCCAGCAGCCGCGGUAAUACGUAUGUCACAAGCGUUAUCCGGAUUUAUUGGGCGUAAAGCGCGUCUAGGUGGUUAUGUAAGUCUGAUGUGAAAAUGCAGGGCUCAACUCUGUAUUGCGUUGGAAACUGUGUAACUAGAGUACUGGAGAGGUAAGCGGAACUACAAGUGUAGAGGUGAAAUUCGUAGAUAUUUGUAGGAAUGCCGAUGGGGAAGCCAGCUUACUGGACAGAUACUGACGCUGAAGCGCGAAAGCGUGGGUAGCAAACAGGAUUAGAUACCCUGGUAGUCCACGCCGUAAACGAUGAUUACUAGGUGUUGGGGGUCGAACCUCAGCGCCCAAGCAAACGCGAUAAGUAAUCCGCCUGGGGAGUACGUACGCAAGUAUGAAACUCAAAGGAAUUGACGGGGACCCGCACAAGCGGUGGAGCAUGUGGUUUAAUUCGACGCAACGCGAGGAACCUUACCAGCGUUUGACGUC
rnacentral:rRNA from 1 species